AUUGAACGCUGGCGGCAUGCCUUACACAUGCAAGUCGAACGGUAACGCGGGGCAACCUGGCGACGAGUGGCGAACGGGUGAGUAAUAGUAUCGGAACGUGCCCAGGUAGUGGGGGAUAGCCCGGCGAAAGCCGGAUUAAUACCGCAUGAGACCUGAGGGUGAAAGCGGGGGAUCGCAAGACCUCGCGCUAUUGGAGCGGCCGAUAUCAGAUUAGGUAGUUGGUGGGGUAAAGGCCUACCAAGCCGGCGAUCUGUAGCUGGUCUGAGAGGACGACCAGCCACACUGGGACUGAGACACGGCCCAGACUCCUACGGGAGGCAGCAGCGGGGAAUUUUGGACAAUGGGCGCAAGCCUGAUCCAGCCAUGCCGCGUGCGGGAAGAAGGCCUUCGGGUUGUAAACCGCUUUUGUCAGGGAAGAAAUCUUCUGGGUUAAUACCUCGGGAGGAUGACGGUACCUGAAGAAUAAGCACCGGCUAACUACGUG
rnacentral:rRNA from 1 species